UGGAAGAAAGACUUGAGUAUUGAACUAUGGCGACAGCAACUCACUCUGGGACUAGAAUUAAGAAGUGUCCGGACGCUAGACGAUCUGUUACAAUAAGAGUACAAACACAGUUUUGAAGUUCUUGAAACGCCUGCUGCAUGCGAUUCAUCAGCUGUGACUUUUAUUAUCGGUGCGUUAAGUCAAAGUGAAGAAAAGUAGACGACCUAUAAGGAAAAGGUUGAACUAAUCCAGAAAAACAGAUGCUGUAGUUUAUCACCAUGGCAUCAAAUGCUAGCCAUAUGCUUGAAGCAGCCUUGGAGCAAAUGGAUGACAUUAUUGCAGGUUCCAAGGCUGCGGCAGAGUACAACAAUGGCAUGUUCGAUAUGGGCUCGCCAGGGUAUCUGGGAUCAUUGCAGAUUUUACAACUGGUGGAAGAGCUGAAAAUAGCUUUGGAAAUACAGGCGAAUGAAGAAGAGAAAGAGACUAUAAGAAAUCAAAUCCCAGCAGCAACUGCACAGUAUCUCAUGGAAUGGCUGGAAAAAGGUGUGGUAAAUCUUCGCUCCCCAGUGAACAAUGAAACCUAUCAAGAGCGUCUGACUCGUUUAGAAGGUGAUAAGGAAUCACUGGUUCUCCAGGUUAGUGUGCUCACAGACCAGGUGGAGGCUCAAGGAGAGAAGAUACGAGACCUGGAGACUUCACUAGAUGAACACCACCAAAAGCUUAACUCCACUGAAGAAAUGCUGCAACAGGAGUUGCUGAGCAGAACGUCCCUGGAAACUCAGAAAUUGGAUCUUAUGGAUGAAGUUUCAUAUCUGAAACUGAAACUAGUUGGAAUGGAGAAGGAACAGAAUGGCUGUGAGGACAAACAGCACAAAGCUGAGUGUGUAGUAAAUCUGAUUAGUGAGCUACAGGAGCAGAUGUGUAAGUUUCAGCAGGAGAUCAAUACGAGAAUCCAGGAGAAAAAGGCACUGGAAAAUAAUCCUGAUACUAAAGCUAAGGAACCACACCACAGCACAGACACAAACUUAGGCAGCUCAAACACUGAAGACUGCUGUCGCUGUAGAGGAGAGAAUGGCCUGCUGCAGGAACUGAGAGUUCUGCAGAGCAAAGUGGAUGAACUGGAGGGAGAAAAAUGCCAGUAUGAAAAAAAACUGAAAGCAACAAAGCUUUCAAUUUCUUAUUCUCUCCAUGUCUGUUACCAGUCCUUAAUGACCAAGCUCUCUAGCCUGAAACUCACAGUUGAACACAUGCAGGUAGAGAAACAACACUGGGAGGACAAAUGCAGAACUGCUCAGGCAGAAAUAGCAGACCUUCAGCAGUUACUUGCUGCCAAAGAUGCUGAAAUCGAACGCCUGCAGAGUCAACUAAUGUCACGAGUUCCAGUGUCAAAUGACAAUACAGAAAGAGAGGAGAUGUAUAGGAGAAGGCUGAAAGAAAAACAUCAGGAACUACAACGACUGAAAAUAGGCAUGGAUUCCUUGCUAACAGCAAAUGAAGAAAAGGACCGUCGUAUAGAGGAGUUGACAAUUCUUUUAAACCAAUAUAGAAAAAGAAAGGAUGUCAUGGCAGUAACGCAAGGCUCGGGUGAAAGAAUUCUGUCUGGCAGCAGUGAGGAAGAACUCAGUGGGAAUAUGAAAAUUAGAAACCCAGCACAUACGACUCACACAGAAAAGGCCAGAUCAGAGAUGUCUUCCAGGGGCUCCUCACCAAUUCUGGUUUCACCCUCAUCAACACAAAAGGAGCUGGACACCAGCUGCAAAAGUCUGUCUCCAGGGCCAUUACUUUCCCCCAGUGAAGAGAGCUUUGAAAACGGACAGUGGCCUCAACAAAGGAUGUUAUCCAGCAGUUUAGAAGAAUUGCAAAGUGGAUCAUUACAAAAGCAUGUAGUUGAGGAACCAGUAGAACCUGUUGUUUCAACAGAGAAUCGACAACAUUUAGAAAGUAACAAAUACCAGACUUUACCAGGGAAGCUGUAUCGUUCCAACCAAAAUGGAGACAAAGAGAAAUAUAUGUCAUCAGAUAGUCAGAAGUCAGAAGAGGAUGCAGCAGGCAAUGAAUUCAACUUAAAUCGCAGCAGGAGUGCCAGUGCUCCAGCUUUAGGAUCUCGUGGGAAACAAGAUCUUUUUGGAAGUGGAAAGACAGAGAAAACCGAGGACACUGCCUUGUCUGAUCUUUCACCCCUGUCGUCUGGCGUCGACUCUGGAGAACAGUCUCCUGUUUCCCCAGAUAGCAAGAAAAAUCCAAAAGGCAUCAAGAAAUUCUGGGGAAAGAUCAGAAGAACCCAGUCUGGCACUCUGCAGGCAGAUGACUUGGAGCCGUCUGAGUUCCGAAGAGGGGGGCUAUGGGCGACAGCUGGGCCUCGGCUAGCCAGGACUAAAGAAACCAGCAGUGCAUUCUGUGACCUGAAUACUCCCUUCUCGAAGUGGACAACAGAGCAGGUGUGCAGCUGGCUGGAGGACUUUGGUCUGGGCCAGUAUGUGAGCCUGGCCAGGCAAUGGGUCAACAAUGGGCAAACCCUCUUAGCUGCAACACCCCAGGAGCUUGAAAAGGAAAUGGGAAUAAAGCACCCCCUGCACAGAAAGAAGUGCCUACUGGCUCUCAGAUCCUUCAGCACAAAACAGACCGAGAAAUCAUCUGAACUGGACCACAUCUGGGUAACACGUUGGCUAGAUGACAUAGGCUUGCCACAGUACAAAGAUCAGUUCAAUGAAGCAAGGGUGGAUGGCAGGAUGCUACAGUACCUGACAGUGAAUGACCUCCUGUUUCUUAAAGUCACAAGCCAGCUCCAUCAUCACAGCAUCAAAUGUGCCAUUCACAUCCUGCAUGUCAACAAUUUCAAUGCUAACUGCCUGAGACGCAGGCCUGCAGAUGAGAAUAAAGUGUGUGUGUGUAUGGCACAGAACAAGAGCUCUCCCUUGGAAGUGAUGCAGUGGUCAAACCAUCGGGUGAUGGAGUGGCUGCGCUCAGUGGACCUGGCAGAGUAUGCGCCCAAUCUGAGAGGUAGUGGAGUUCACGGAGGCCUGAUUAUUCUAGAGCCUCGAUUUAAUUCCGACACCUUAGCAAUGCUGCUGAACAUCCCACCUCAAAAAACUCUUCUGAGGAGACACCUGGCAACAAACUUCAACAUGCUGAUAGGGUCAGAGGCACAGCAAGAGAAGCGAGAAUUUAUGGAGUCCUCCAGCUACACGCCCCUUACCACCACUGCAAAAGUCAGGCCAAAGAAACUUGGAUUUUCAAAUUUUGGGCACUUAAGAAAAAAGAAGCUUGAUGACUCCUCGGAUUAUAUUUGCCCAGUGGACACAGCCCAGCAGUUGCCUGCCUCAAAUGGAGGUCACAGGGGCUUUGGAAGAACCAGGGGACUGAGCCCAAUUUUUGACAGGGACAUGGAGAGACCGGAGCAGAUGGAGGUUACAGAAGGAACAGUACAGCAGAUAGGGGCUUUCUCAGCAGGCAUAAAUAACCUUACAUAUUUGCUAAGCCACGACGACCUGCUGCAGGACUGCAGAUGGGGACAAACAGCAACACUCUGAGAAGAAAGUGCCAGACUAACAUGCCGCUUGACCAGGGAAAACAUCAAUACCUCAACUAUACUGAGAAACUAAGACCAGCAGCUUUUGUAUUCAGAAAGGACUUUGAUGACAGCUGUGUGCUCUUCACUCAGGAUAACGCACAGAGUAUAGGAGCAUUGUGUAUAAAGGAGACAACAAUC